rnacentral:lncRNA from 1 species
GAAUUCGGGAUCGACGUUGACCGUCACCAUGCUGUUGAGCCGGUAGCUAGCUUUUUUGGGCAAAAAGCAAAAAUCAGAAGGGCAAUUGAAGCUGAAGGAAUUCCUUACACUUAUAUUUCCUCUAACGCCUUUGCCGGAUACUUCCUCCCUACAUUAGGACAACAAAAUGUCACAUCUCCUCCCCGCGAUAAAGUGGUCAUUCUUGGAGAUGGAAAUGUCAAAGGUAACAUCUUACAAAAUCUUUUCAAAACAUUUUUUUUUUCUACAUGGACAUACUCGAUUACCUGUUAAAAUUGUACAUUUGAAAUUCGUGUUUUAGGAGUUUAUGUCACGGAGGAAGACAUCGGGACUUAUACCAUUAAAGCAGUGGACGAUCCAAGAACCUUGAACAAAGUUGUAUACUUUAGGCCUCCUGCCAAUGUUUUGUCUUUCAACGAACUCGUCUCAUUGUGGGAGAAUAAAAUUAAGAGCACCCUCGAGAAAAUUUAUGUUCCAGAGGAUCAACUUCUUAAGAGCAUUCAAGGUUAGUACGAACAAUCUUUUUUUAAUGAAAAUAUUUAUGAUAGCAAUACCUUAAAACAAUUUAAUGUGUAACAUAUAUCAUAUGUUAUACUUAUGCUAUAUGAAUUUUUUUUCUUCUAUGCAGAGUCUCCUUUCCCUGCAAACUUAAUGUUGGCAUUAGGUCACUCCAUGUCAGUAAAAGGAGAUUGUACAAAUUUUGAGAUUGAACCUUCUUUUGGUGUGGAAGCUUCUGAAAUUUAUCCUGAGGUGAAAUACACUACGGUCGACAACUACUUGAAUGCAUUUGUUUGAAGCCAAAACAA